rnacentral:rRNA from 1 species
GAUGAACGCUGGCGGCGUGCUUAACACAUGCAAGUCGAACGAGGGUUACCGGUUGAAAUUUUGGAAUGGAAACGGGUAAUACCUAGUGGCGGACGGGUGAGUAACGCGUGGGGAACCUGCCCCAUUCCGGGGAUACCAGUUGGAAACGACUGUUAAUACCGCAUAAGCGCACAGUACUGCAUGGUACGGUGUGAAAAACCACGGUGGAAUGGGAUGGCCCCGCGUCUGAUUAGCCAGUUGGCAGGGUAACGGCCUACCAAAGCGACGAUCAGUAGCCGGCCUGAGAGGGCGACCGGCCACAUUGGGACUGAGACACGGCCCAA